UUAAUGAGAUAGUUCUAGUAUAUAAUUGAAUUGAAAACGAUUUCCACCAAUCAUUUAUUGAGAGUCGAACUUGAUAAGAACGCUGCAUUGGAGUUACAUUCUUGUUUAAUGAUAGUUGACCUUAUGUCAUAGCGUAACGGCCUGGAUUGAGAAUUUCCCGAGGUCGAGUUCGGGAUGUAUCUCCCGGGUCAUGUGGAAAAGAGAAAGCUAGAUAUGGGGCUGUAGGAGCAAAAACGAGCAACUAGAUCGUGCUCUCAAAACCCGAGCCUCCCCGAGGGUUCUCGUGGUAUGACGUAGUUCCGGGGAGCUAGGUCUGAUAGCGCUUUCCCUGAUCUGAGGGUUCACAGUCUUACAUUUAGCCCCAGUUUGCCCACGAGGUUGGUUGUGCGCGUUUUUGUUCGGGUUUCGUUAUUUCGUUUAAGCUAGAAAUAAGCCGUGUGUGUGUCAGGUUACCAAUUUUGUGUGCCUAAGAAAAUCAAGAGCGAUCGCCAAAAACAGCAGCAGGCCCCCUGCCACACACCACACCCCGAUACACCAGCCCGUUGGGCAUACCUUCUUCGCUGGAAAUCAAACCACCAGCUCGCCCGAUUCGUCAACAUAUCGGCAUCCGAAGAAGUCUGGGAGAUUCUGGUGGCACUGGAAGCUACAUCCGGUGUAAGCAACCCCGAUUACACCAGCAUACAUCCGGUCAAACCACGAUUACCAUCCACCACUCACCGAAUGAAAUCUGAGUUGCGAACAGCCAAUCAUCGUCGCCGUCGUCAGCGAGCCACAGCAGCAGCAGCAGAUACAACCAAGUAGGUGCUUUCCAGUAGGGGUUCAUCCAUAAAGGAUGACACCUUUCAUAUAAAACCCAAUUGAUCGAUCAUAACCUUUUUAA